rnacentral:misc_RNA from 1 species
GAUGAAGAACGUAGCGAAAUGCGAUAAGUAAUGUGAAUUGCAGAAUUCAGUGAAUCAUCGAAUCUUUGAACGCACAUUGCGCCCCCUGGUAUUCCGGGGGGCAUGCCUGUCCGAGCGUCAUUACAACCCUCAAGCUCAGCUUGGUGUUGGGCCCCGCCGCCCCGGCGGGCCCUAAAGUCAGUGGCGGUGCCGUCUGGUUCCGAGCGUAGUAAUUCUUCUCGCUCUGGAGGUCCGGUCGUGUGCUUGCCAGCAACCCCAAAUUUUUUUCAGGUUGACCUCGGAUCAGGUAGGGAUACCCGCUGAACUUAAGCAUAUCAAUAAGCGGAGGA